rnacentral:rRNA from 1 species
CCUACGGGGGGCAGCAGUGAGGAAUAUUGGUCAAUGGACGCGAGUCUGAACCAGCCAAGUAGCGUGAAGGAUGACUGCCCUAUGGGUUGUAAACUUCUUUUAUAUGGGAAUAAAGUUUUCCACGUGUGGAAUGUUGUAUGUACCAUAUGAAUAAGGAUCGGCUAACUCCGUGCCAGCAGCCGCGGUAAUACGGAGGAUCCGAGCGUUAUCCGGAUUUAUUGGGUUUAAAGGGAGCGUAGGUGGACAGUUAAGUCAGUUGUGAAAGUUUGCGGCUCAACCGUAAAAUAGCAGUUGAUACUGGCUGUCUUGAGUACAGUAGAGGUGGGCGGAAUUCGUGGUGUAGCAGUGAAAUGCUUAGAUAUCACGAAGAACUCCGAUUGCGAAGGCAGCUCACUGGACUGCAACUGACACUGAUGCUCGAAAGUGUGGGUAUCAAACAGGAUUAGAUACCCCAGUAGUC